rnacentral:rRNA from 1 species
UGGGGAAUAUUGCACAAUGGGCGAAAGCCUGAUGCAGCGACGCCGCGUGAGGGAUGACGGCCUUCGGGUUGUAAACCUCUUUCAGCAGGGACGAAGCGCAAGUGACAGUACCUGCAGAAGAAGCACCGGCUAACUACGUGCCAGCAGCCGCGGUAAUACGUAGGGUGCAAGCGUUGUCCGGAAUUACUGGGCGUAAAGAGUUCGUAGGCGGUUUGUCGCGUCGUUUGUGAAAACCAGCAGCUCAACUGCUGGCUUGCAGGCGAUACGGGCAGACUUGAGUACUGCAGGGGAGACUGGAAUUCCUGGUGUAGCGGUGAAAUGCGCAGAUAUCAGGAGGAACACCGGUGGCGAAGGCGGGUCUCUGGGCAGUAACUGACGCUGAGGAACGAAAGCGUGGGUAGCGAACAGG